rfam:Fukomys damarensis contig107980, whole genome shotgun sequence.
UAACAGGCUUUUUUAAAAGCCAGUUUUUAAAAACAGAGCACU